GCCGGGAUGGUGGAAUUGGCAGACACGUACGUUUGAGGGGCGUAUGCCUAACGGCGUGGGGGUUCGAAUCCCCCUCCCGGCACCA
rnacentral:tRNA from 1 species